GGGCACUGGAGGCCUCAGAACUCAGAUUCCUAUCCCUCCGUGCUGGGGGCUGACCACAGCCUCCCCCGUCACCCAAGCCAUGGAGCUGACCUUCCAUGUGGGGCCACUCCCUGUGCUCAGCACCACUCUGCUCCUACUUUGUGCCAGAAGCUAGAGGCAGAAACCCUCAUCGGGCCAGACUGUGGUCAAAGGGAGCCCAGACUGGCGGUAACACUGGCCAUGGUAGGGUAGCCUUAAGCUUCUGGGGGACCCCAUCCUGGAGCCACCCAUGUUUAACAGGUUUGACUCCAUAUAUAAACAGAGUGCCAAGAAAUUGUUCAGAAGAGGCAUUCAGUAGUUCACAGCAUCUUAGUCUGCGUGGUAACAGGAACAGGGGGCGCUGCCUCCAUUUCACCCUUACGAGGUUCACAGAUUUGGGAGACCUGCCAAAGGUCACCCUGGGGAAGGUCCAUUCCGUGAGGUUCCACACUGGUGAGAUGUGUCCUUGAUCCCAGGGUUGGGCAGAGGAAAAAGGGCUCCGCAGAAUCCUGAAGCAUUGACGGGUCAGCCGGGCCCCUGGGAAGGGCUUCCUUCUUCAGCACAUGACUCCCCUCUGGUGGCCAGUAGCUGCAAUUGUCAGUUGCGGCGCUGGAGAGGAACAAAAAUUAUGACCUCUUCUUCCUGGGUGUCUGCCGUGUUCCGGACGCUCACACAUAUCUGGUCUAAUCCUCACAACCACUCUGUGAGCGGGG
rnacentral:lncRNA from 1 species